rnacentral:rRNA from 1 species
UAGGGAAUCUUCCACAAUGGACGAAAGUCUGAUGGAGCAAUGCCGCGUGAGUGAAGAAGGGUUUCGGCUCGUAAAACUCUGUUGUUAAAGAAGAACACCUUUGAGAGUAACUGUUCAAGGGUUGACGGUAUUUAACCAGAAAGCCACGGCUAACUACGUGCCAGCAGCCGCGGUAAUACGUAGGUGGCAAGCGUUGUCCGGAUUUAUUGGGCGUAAAGCGAGCGCAGGCGGUUUUUUAAGUCUGAUGUGAAAGCCUUCGGCUUAACCGGAGAAGUGCAUCGGAAACUGGGAGACUUGAGUGCAGAAGAGGACAGUGGAACUCCAUGUGUAGCGGUGGAAUGCGUAGAUAUAUGGAAGAACACCAGUGGCGAAGGCGGCUGUCUAGUCUGUAACUGACGCUGAGGCUCGAAAGCAUGGGUAGCGAACAGGA